UCGAUCUUGGCGUUCUGCAUUCCAUCACAGGUCUGAAGCAGAAGGUUCUGAGUGGCGCACACGCACAACGAACGCUCAGCCGGACGCGUCAGAAGUUCAAUUUCUCCACUUUGGGCGUCCGGAGGGAUCAGCAGGACGCUGCUGUGGAUCUCAUCUGGUUGUGUCUUGAAAUUCUGCGUGCUUGAAGGACGGAGAAGAAGGAUAAAUGCGCUUGCGUGAUUGUGGAGCAGCAGAGAAGAAAGGCUCAUUUCCACUCUCUGUGGACUCAGACCAAGCUCAUCCUGUACUGUUUGGUUACGGAUGUAGCCAAGGCUCUAAGGUGCAAAAAUUGAGUGCAGCACAAAGAGGAAAGUAGAAAAGGAGAAGAUAAGGCAGGGAGCUGCAUAAUUGGUGUCAGAGUUGGAAACCAUGCGAAGAGACUUCUGAAGACCACUGAAAAAGACUGUGUGUAACGUUUAAGAUAUUUGUAUGUGUGUGUGUGGGCAUAUGUGUGCACGCCGCUGCUGUUUUCAAAGGACCUGAAUUUGUAUUUGGAUGUGGAUUCAGUCCUUCAUUAUGACUCUACUAGGAGGCAUUGAGACAGCGCUGACUGGCUGCCACAGAGGCGUCUGUCGCCGUGUGUUCCUGCUGGCUUGCUAUUUCUUGUUGUCUUUGGCUGCUAAACCGAAAAUGCCAGGCCACACGCACCUGAAUUCAGUACGAAUCGAUGGGGACAUAUCUCUAGGUGGGCUGUUCCCCGUGCACGCAAGAGGCAACGACGGUAAAGCCUGCGGCGAGUUGAAGAAGGAGAAAGGGAUCCACAGGCUGGAGGCCAUGUUGUUCGCCCUAGAUCGCAUCAAUAAUGAUAACGAGUUGCUGCCCAAUAUCACUCUGGGUGCACGCAUCCUGGACACCUGCUCCCGGGACACUCAUGCACUUGAACAGUCGCUGACAUUUGUCCAAGCGCUCAUCGAGAAAGACUCGACGGAUGUGAAGUGUCUCAGUGGAGGGCCACCAAUCAUCACUAAGCCUGAGAGAGUAGUGGGAGUGAUUGGCGCGUCUGCCAGCUCGGUGUCAAUCAUGGUGGCCAACAUUUUGCGUCUUUUCAAGAUCCCUCAGGUGAGCUACGCCUCCACAGCUCCAGAGCUGAGUGACAACACCCGCUAUGACUUCUUCUCUCGAGUUGUACCCCCGGACACGUACCAGGCCCAGGCCAUGGUGGACAUCGUCAAAGCAUUACGCUGGAACUAUGUGUCCACCGUAGCUUCAGAGGGAAACUACGGUGAAAGUGGUGUUGAUGCAUUUAUUCAGAAGUCUCGAGAGGACGGAGGUCUGUGCAUUUCACAGUCAGUGAAAAUACCUCGUGAACCAAGACCCGGAGAGUUUGACAAGAUAAUUCAACGACUCAGCGAGAACCCUAAUGCCCGAGUUGUCAUCAUCUUUGCCAACGAGGACGACAUCAGGCGACUACUUCAGGCAGCUAAGAAGGCCAAUCAAACAGGCCAUUUUAUCUGGGUUGGCUCAGACAGCUGGGGCUCUAAAAUAGCCCCGAUACUAAACCAGGAGGAGAUGGCAGAAGGUGCUGUAACCAUCCUACCCAAACGACAGUCAAUUCGAGGUUUUGAUCGUUAUUUCAUCAGCAGAACACUUGAGAACAAUCGAAGGAACAUCUGGUUUGCAGAGUUCUGGGAGAAUAACUUUCAAUGCAAGCUCAGUCGACAUGCUCCAAAGAAGGGAUCCGGCAUCAAGAAAUGCACAAAUCACGAGCGGAUCGGGAAGGAUUCAUCCUAUGAACAGGAGGGGAAGGUCCAGUUUGUGAUUGAUGCGGUUUAUGCCAUGGCUCACGCACUGCAUAACAUGCACAAAGAUCUCUGUCCUGGAAAAGUGGGAUUGUGCUCCAAGAUGGACACCAUCAACGGGACGCUGUUGCUCAAGUACAUCCGCAGUGUCAACUUCACAGGAAUUGCUGGAACUCCAUUGGUGUUCAACGUGAAUGGAGACGCUCCUGGUCGCUAUGAAAUCUACCAAUAUCAAAUCACAAAUAAUACAACAGAAUACAAGAUCAUCGGCCACUGGACAGAUCAGCUCCACUUAGACAUUCAUGAGAUGCAGUGGCCCGGCGGAACACAAGAUGUGCCGUCUUCUAUCUGCAGCCAACCCUGUCAUCCUGGGCAGCGCAAGAAGACAGUGAAGGGAAUCCCCUGCUGUUGGCACUGUGAGAACUGUGACGGUUACCAGUAUCAGGCAGACACUUACACCUGCAAGAUGUGCCGCUUUGAUUUGCGGCCUAAUGAGAACCACACUGGCUGCAAUCCCAUCCCCAUUGUCAAGCUUGAGUGGAGUUCCCCGUGGGCGGUCAUCCCUGUCCUCAUCGCCGUCCUUGGCAUCAUAGCUACUCUGUUUGUGGUCACCACCUUUAUACGCUACAAUGACACGCCGAUUGUUAAGGCAUCAGGUCGAGAGCUCAGCUACGUCUUGCUGACGGGGAUCUUUCUGUGCUAUGCUACGACGUUCCUCAUGAUCUCAGCUCCCGACGUUGUGAUAUGCUCGCUGCGUCGGAUUUUCCUGGGCUUGGGUAUGAGCAUAAGCUACGCAGCCCUGCUCACCAAGACGAAUCGGAUCUACAGGAUUUUUGAGCAAGGCAAGAUGUCAGUCAGCGCCCCACGAUUCAUCUCCCCGGCAUCGCAGUUAGUUAUCACUUUCAGCCUGAUAUCGGUGCAGCUUCUCGGCGUGUGCAUCUGGUUUGGUGUUGACCCAUCACAAGCCAUCAUUGAUUACGAGGACCAGCGUACAUCCAAUCCUGAAAUGGCCCGUGGUGUUCUGAAAUGUGACAUAUCGGACCUGUCGCUCAUCUGUCUGCUGGGAUACAGCAUGCUGCUGAUGGUCACCUGCACAGUCUAUGCCAUCAAGACGAGAGGGGUUCCAGAGACAUUCAACGAAGCCAAACCCAUCGGCUUUACCAUGUACACCACAUGCAUCGUGUGGCUGGCAUUCAUCCCCAUCUUCUUCGGGACCUCGCAAUCAGCUGAAAAGAUGUAUAUCCAGACUACGACUCUGACCAUCUCUGUAAGCCUUAGUGCUUCUGUGUCUCUGGGAAUGCUCUACAUGCCCAAAGUCUACGUGGUUCUUGUCCAUCCAGAACAGAACAUACCCAAGCGCAAGCGCAGCCUGAAGGCAGUGGUGACCGCCGCAACCAUGUCCAACAAGUUCAACCCCAAAGGUAGCCUGAGGCCCAACGGAGAGGCCAAGUCUGAGCUCUGUGAAAGUCUGGAAACACAAGUGCUGUCCUCCAAGCAAACAUACAUAAGCUACAGUAACCAUGCCAUUUGAGACGACCUGCCGGAAGCGAGCGAAGGCCUGUCUGAGGAGCAAUCAGCCAAACUGGAGGACUUCCAAGCUGCAACAGCAGAGAGGACUUGGGUGGAAAGAUGGAAAGGUCACUUCCUGCAAGAAAAGGAUGUCAUUUUUUUCUUCUUGAGAGCGCGCGAGAGAGAGACAGACAGACAAACAUUCA